GACGAACGCUGGCGGCGUGCCUAAUACAUGCAAGUAGGACGCAGUUGCGAACGGGUGAGUAACGCGUAGGUAACUACCUAUUAGAGGGGGAUAAAUAUUGGAAACGAUAGCUAAUACCGCAUACUAGUAGAUGGACCUGCGUUGUAUUAGCUAGUAGGUCGGGUAAUGGCCUACCUAGGCAACGAUACAUAGCCGACCUGUGGUGGUGGUCGGCCAAACUUGGACUGUGGAACGGCCCAGGCUCGUACGGGAGGCAGCAGUAGGGAAUCAUCGGCAAUGGGGGGAACCCUGACCGAGCCCCGCCGCGUGAGUGAAGGAGGUUUUCGGGUCGUAAAGCUCUGUUGUUAAGGGAGCGGUACUUAACCAGAAAGGGACGGCUAACUACGUGCCAGCAGCCGCGGUAAUAC
rnacentral:rRNA from 1 species